UACGUAGGGGGCGAGCGUUGUCCGGAAUUAUUGGGCGUAAAGCGCGCGCAGGCGGUCUCUUAAGUCUGAUGUGAAAGUCCACGGCUCAACCGUGGAGGGUCAUUGGAAACUGGGGGACUUGAGGGCGGGAGAGGAGAGUGGAAUUCCACGUGUAGCGGUGAAAUGCGUAGAGAUGUGGAGGAACACCAGUGGCGAAGGCGGCUCUCUGGCCUGCACCUGACGCUGAGGCGCGAAAGCGUGGGGAGCAAAC
rnacentral:rRNA from 1 species